rnacentral:rRNA from 1 species
UACGUAGGGGGCAAGCGUUGUCCGGAUUUAUUGGGCGUAAAGAGCGUGUAGGCGGCUUGGCAAGUCUGCUGUGAAAACUCGAGGCUCAACCUCGAGCUGUCGGCGGAAACUGCUUGGCUAGAGUCCGGAAGAGGAGAGUGGAAUUCCUGGUGUAGCGGUGAAAUGCGCAGAUAUCAGGAAGAACACCUAUGGCGAAGGCAGCUCGCUGGGACGGUACUGACGCUGAGGCGCGAAAGCGUGGGGAGCGAACAGG